UACGUAGGGUGCGAGCGUUAAUCGGAAUUACUGGGCGUAAAGCGUGCGCAGGCGGUUCGUUAUGUCCGAUGUGAAAGCCCCGAGCUCAACUUGGGAAUGGCAUUGGAAACUGGCUGGCUAGAGUGUGGCAGAGGGGGGUGGAAUUCCGCGUGUAGCAGUGAAAUGCGUAGAGAUGCGGAGGAACACCGAUGGCGAAGGCAGCCCCCUGGGCUGACACUGACGCUCAGGCACGAAAGCGUGGGGAGCAAACAGG
rnacentral:rRNA from 1 species